rnacentral:lncRNA from 1 species
CAUUUAUGUCGGAUCCUCAGUGAAAAUAAAAGCCAUGAUAGUUCAACAUACAGAGAUUUCCAGCAAGCUCUCUAUGAGUUGUCAUAUCAUGUAAUUAAAGGAAAUCUAAAGCAUGAACAGGCAUCUAAUGUUCUUAGUGACAUUAGUGUAAGAAUUUCGUGAGGAUAUGCCCUCCAUUCUUGCUGAUGUAUUCUGCAUAUUAGACAUUGAGACAAAUUGUUUAGAAGAA